UACGGGGGGGGCAAGCGUUGUUCGGAAUUACUGGGCGUAAAGGGCUCGUAGGCGGCCAACUAAGUCAGACGUGAAAUCCCUCGGCUUAACCGGGGAACUGCAUCUGAUACUGGAUGGCUUGAGUUCGGGAGAGGGAUGCGGAAUUCCAGGUGUAGCGGUGAAAUGCGUAGAUAUCUGGAGGAACACCGGUGGCGAAGGCGGCUACCUGGACCAGCACUGACACUGAGGCACGAAAGCGUGGGGAGCAAACAGG
rnacentral:rRNA from 1 species